CUGGGGGUUCACGUGACCAGCUCCGACCAGGGUCUUUGCUUCCCAAGAGCAAAGAACCUGGGAACGAGGUUGAUUGGAACACACAAUUGUAUACAAUAAUGCUCACAAUUUCUUUCUUCUUAUUGUAACAUGGCAGUGUUAUACCAUGUUAUUUAAUAUAUUCAAUACUAUAUUCAAUACUAUAUAUUCAGCAUACUGUUAUAAUUAUAAGAGGAAGACCUUAGGCAACCUUCCUCGCAUGAAUAAGCAAAUAUUUAGAGAGAUUAAAGAACCACGGGAAACGCCUAGUACCACAAACCACGCAAACAGGACAUAGUUUUGUGGUUGAUAAACACUGCUAGAACUUGCUUUAACAAACAUAUUGCGUAGAGGAAAUUAGUCAUAGUUACAGAUUUCUUCCUCUAAAAUUUAUUAUAAAAGCUGAGCACAACCUGAGAGUCGAGAGCGGAGAGUGAAGUGAGAAGAGCCAUUUAGGCUAAAAUACUUCAUAAGCCAACAAAGGCUGAGGUAUAUAAUUAAAAGGCUAGAUAAUUAAGCCUCGUCAAGUAAACUGAAGAACAUUGGAAUAUUGUGGAAUAAUUAUUAUUAAAGAAGACGGAAUACAAAGUAUAAAGAAUAAAGAUUCAAAGUUGUGCUCAGCUGAAACAAAUAGAGAGAUAAGUUGAUAUAUUAAGAUUACUAUAUUAUUAUAACAUUAUAGAGACGCUAUUUCAUAUUGUUGAAAGUAAAUAAAAUAUAUAAAAGGUAUAAGGUUUCAUGCUAUUUGUGUUACGGUAGCGUUAAUAUAAUUUGAACCCGAAGCCUAAAGGUUGAAAAUAUACCUAAUUGGAAAAUAUAUUUGACGCAUAAAUAACGCACCAUAACAGUUGGGGGCUCAGGCGGGAAAGAGUAAAACCAGUCUAAACAGUUGCAUGCUCCAAAAGAAAAUUAGCAUUUCAAGUUAAAACAAAUAAAAAUUGGAAAGUCAUUUCAUUGAUAAGAUAUUAAUUAAGCGGAAUUUGAGGAAUACAUUCUGCAUGCGUCAUAGUGUUAAGUGUGAAACCUGAUACCUUAAUUGAUCUUAAUUAAAUAAGCAUGUCAGAAUUUAACCCCGGCGAAUUUAUGGUGGAACCAACCAUAGAAAAUUUUAAUAGCCUGCGUAAAGAUAACCUAGUUACGCUAGCCAAGCAUUUAGGGCUAGAAAUAAGAAGUGCCUUCAGAAAACGCGAAGUAUACGAUUUAAUCAAGGAACAUUUUGUUAAAGAAAAAACAUUCGAACAGUCUGUUUUCAUGGAACAAAGUAUAAAUACAGUAGAAAAUACACAGAUUAGUGAAGAUAGUGAAAUAAGCGAGAAAGACAGACAGUGGCAGAGAGAGCAUGAGAAAGUUUUGUGGGAAAGAGAACGAGAGAAACGCGAGUG